AGAGUUUGAUCCUGGCUCAGGAUGAACGCUAGCGGCAGGCUUAACACAUGCAAGUCGAGGGGCAGCACGGGUAGCAAUACCUGGUGGCGACCGGCGGAAGGGUGCGUAACGCGCGAGCAACAUGCCCUAUACAGGGGGAUAAGCCAGGGAAACUUGGUCUAAUACCCCAUAGCAAUAUUUUAAGGCAUCUUAGGAUAUUUAAAGCUUCGGUGGUAUAGGAUUGGCUCGCGUGACAUUAGCUAGUUGGUGGGGUAACGGCCCACCAAGGCGACGAUGGGUAGCUGGUCUGAGAGGAUGAUCAGCCACACUGGAACUGACACACGGUCCAGACUCCUACGGGAGGCAGCAGUGAGGAAUUUUGCGCAAUGGGGGGAACCCUGACGCAGCAACGCCGCGUGAGUGAAGAAGGCCUUCGGGUCGUAAAGCUCUGUCGAGUGGGAAGAACCUUCGUAUGUUGAAUAUGCAUACGGACUGACGGUACCACAGAAGGAAGCACCGGCUAACUCCGUGCCAGCAGCCGCGGUAA
rnacentral:rRNA from 1 species